rnacentral:rRNA from 1 species
UUCUCUUGGUCACUUAGAGGAAGUAAAAGUCGUAACAAGGUUUCCGUAGGUGAACCUGCGGAAGGAUCAUUAUUGAAUAAACUUGAACAGGCUGUUGCUGGUCCUCAGGGACACAUGUGCACGCUUGUCAUCUUUAUCUCUCCUCAUGUGCACAUUUUGUAGACCUGGUGGUGUCUUGGUUGAUUUGAUUUAUUCAGAUUUAAGGAUUGCUUAUUUUGCUUUCCUUGUUUCGUAUCAUCCAGGUCUAUGUUAUUUUCACAAUCUCUUUGAAAUGUAUUAGAAUGGUUGAUAAUAAAAAGUUGAUACAACUUUCAGCAACGGAUCUCUUGGCUCUCGCAUCGAUGAAGAACGCAGCGAAAUGCGAUAAGUAAUGUGAAUUGCAGAAUUCAGUGAAUCAUCGAAUCUUUGAACGCAUCUUGCGCUCCUUGGUAUUCCGAGGAGCAUGCCUGUUUGAGUGUCAUUAAAUCUCUCAACCACACAAAUGUGUUGUGGCUUGGAUAUGGAGGAUGCAGGCUGAAUGAAGUUCAAGUCGAGCUCCUCUAAAAUACAUAAGUAGUGGUCAGAGAAACUACAGAUGUGAUAAAUUAUCUACAUCUUAGUGUAUGCUGUAUUAUGCUGCUUUCAAACACCCCCAUCUCUUUGACGUAUUUGACCUCAAAUCAGGUAGGACUACCCGCUGAACUUAAGCAUAUCAAUAGCCGGAGGAA